GAUUUACCGCCUAUAUAAUUAUCACACUUUAUAUAUCUAUUGUUGUUGUAGUGGCUACAUGUCGUAUGAGGAAAUCCUUGUGGUCUCAGUAACUGGUGGUCAGUAACUGGUCAUGUGUAUAACCUGGAAUGUGUAUCCCUCACUGCUCUGAGGCUGUUCCUACAGUACCUGGUUCUUUAUUAGCAUUUUUUUUGGAGAAAUUAAAUGGCAAAGAUGAUGAGAAUAUUUACCUGGAGUGCUGACCACAGAGUAUGCUGAACGACACUGAACGUAACACGCCCACCAAAAGGCAGGCUGCAGCUAAUACCGAAGAACUAAUACUAAUACUAAUACCAAUACCGAAGAACAAUUUAUUUUUAUACUUUUUUUUUUUAACAUAGGCCUACCCUAUGUAGGAGAUAAGGCAUCUGCCAAAACAUUGUCCUUACCUUUUUUAUGUUUUAUUUCUAGGUUGUAACUUUGUUUUACUAGUGACCAAUGCAUUAAUCUCUGGUUUUGAUUAUACAUUCUAGACAGAAAAACUAAGGGAUUACGGUCGGUGUAUAUGACAACCGGGACAGAGCUGGAUCCAACAUACACUUCGAAAUGUUGUAACGCCAAAAGCGAUCUCUCGGGUACCGGGACAUCGCUAGCGAACGGAGUGGCUAAGAUGGAGUCUGACAAAUUCACCUGCUCGCCCCAUUUUCGUGCUUGUGCUCGGGAGGACGUAUCUGACAAAGGCAAGAUCCUCGCCAGUAAGAAGGACUGGGAUGCUCCAGUGUCCCUUAAAAUUCGAACUGCCUUUUGGACAUUCGGUUCCGCAACCAGAGACACAAAUCCUUCAAAUACGAAUGGCCCGUAGCUAACGCUACCUUCUUCUCUGGCACUGGAUACUGGAUACUGCUCUAUCCAACCUGGUAGGUUUUGGGGUACUGGUAUUUUUAUUUUUUAAUAAAUAGAAAUCUGCUAUUACAUGACCCUUCUUGUGGCAGUAAAAACACUCCUGCUCUUCCUUAGAGCGUGCAGGGGGAGAUUUAGGGGGUUUAACUGAUGGCGCAACCUCAGCCUCAGCAGUUUUCCCACGAGACGUCGCAAACACACCUUUAUGUGUGAGGGUAAACUCAUCGCCAAAGAUUGCCGCCUCAUUUAAGGACGUAACCUUUUGCUCAUUCAAAUAUACUACACACCUCUCUGGCGUGCACUUCUUAAAUUCGUCCAAUAAAAUUAAUUCUCGGAGUGAAUUAUAGUCUGUUGAUUUGCUAGCAGCACACCAUUUAUCGAACAGAGUUCCCUUCUCCCUAGCGAACUCAACAAAAGACUGAGUCGAGGUCUUUCGGUAGUCUCUGAAUUUCUGCCUAUAAGCCUCCGGCACCAACUCAUAAGAACCGAGCACCGCAGCCUUAACGACUUCAUAAUUUAAACUAUCGGCAAGCGACAAGGUAGCCACUGCAUCCUGCGCUUUACCUGUCAGUUUACACUGGAGCAAGGUGGUCCAAAUGUCUUUUGGCCAAUUAAGUGCAGUAGCAAGGCGCUCAAAAGUGCUAAAAUAGGUAUCCACCUCCGUCUCCCGAAAAGGGGGGAUAGCUAUGUGCCUUCGCACGUCAUAGUGCGUAGAAAGUGGCGCGGGCAUAACUGAGGCUGGUAACGUAGCAGCUUGCACAGCGGCGUUCUCCAACUCCAAUUUACGCAUCUUUAACUUAGUCUCCGCCUCAAUCUCCAGUGUCCGCAUAGCUAAUAUAUGCUCAAACUCAAUUCUCUGACCUCUUUCUAGGGCCUCUCUGGCUUCCCGUUUCUCCCUGGCUUCUCGUCCUAGUUGCAGGCGGGAUAAACAAAUUCUCAACCUCGCCCCAGCCAUCGACUCAGACGACGCCGAGACCAGCGAGAGCCCUUCGAACCUCGGCAGAGUUACCGGCUGCGGCGGGGUAAUCGGCAACGGCCUCUCCUCCUUCUCCUCCGAUCGAAGUCGCAGCACCCUGCUCCAGCUCAGGUUGGACCGCAGGCAGGACAAAGAUACCCAGCUCUACUAACUUAUCCCGUACCACAGACCGAAUAUUUUUUUUCAAAGACUGUUUUGUUACCGGGAUGCUAUAAUGCUGUGCAAUAAGAAUUAAUUCUGCCUUACCACACUUGUCAAAACCAGAAACAGAAAGGUUUCUAUGAAAUGUUUCCACUUCAAACUCCGCGUGCUUGGUUUCAGUGUUCUCCAUUCUGAAUACACCAGUUUUUGUACAGCCUAAGAAGCCUACUCAAUGGCUGGCGAUAUUUCCAUCAAAACGCUCAAUGUCCCGGACGAGCCCCCAUUUUUGUUACGUUCUCAGGCGUCCAGGGGUAGGAGGGAGUACGCAACAAAAUUAUAAUUAAAUAAAAUGACCGGGAGGAUAUAUUUGAGAGUUAUGGGAGUGAAAAUGAUCGAACAAACCAGAAUUGAGGUGCAAUAAAGUGUAUUUACAAAAGUACAGUGGAGGUGAUAUUUACAGAUUUAAACAAAUAUUCACAAGACAAAGACACAUUACAUUACAUUACAUUAUUGGCAUUUGGCAGACGCUCUUAUCCAGAGCGACGUACAACAAAGUACAUACCCAUAACCAGGGAUAAAUGCGCUGAAAGACCCUAGAGGGAAGUACAAUUUCAACUGCUACCUGUACAAGAAAGAUAAGGACGAGGGCCAAUAUUUUUUUAUUUUUUUUAUUUUUUGAGAACAAACAAACAAACAGAGCAAAAGUGACUAAACUUAACUAUCCAAAUACUGCUUACCUAGCCAACUAAAAAUAGCGAUACAUAAAGUAAAUCACAAAGACAACAAUUAAGGUUCACAGGGAGGUAGGGAGGGAUGGGGAGAGGUGCUGCUUGAAGAGGUGCGUCUUCAGUUUGUGCUUGAAGGUGGGGAGAGAUUCUACAGUUCUGACCUCAACGGGGAGUUCGUUCCACCACCGUGGAGCCAGAACAGACAGUAGUCGUGAGCGUGAGGUGGAGGUUCGGAGAGGGGGAGGUGCCAAGCGGCCUGUGGAGGCUGAACGAAGAGGUCUGGCAGGGGUAUGAGGCCAAGGGACCUCGGUGUUGCCAAAUGAAUGAAAUUAACAAAACCAAAUAGAGCUAAAAACUGAAUACAUACUAAUUGUUCCCUGAACAAAAUAAUAUCUCUGUACUCUAUAAUCAAAAUUACAUAGGUGGCAAUCACCCCUUUCCUAAGGUGUCUAAACAAUUGUUCACCCUACGUGCAGCAACAGUGUAUAGAGGCCUCUGUCUUACCUGCCCCCGGGCCUAUACGCGGACAACCACAUUCACACGAGUAGGAGAACAGAUAAACAACAUACAUCGACAGGGUUCUCAAUCGAAUGAGCCGCCAAGCCUAGCAUAGCCCACGUGGGGCAGCCAACACACAGCUUAUGGAAACAGAGGAGGGACGUGAUUGGUGGAGGCGGGACCAGGACAAUGAUUGACAGCAGGGACAGCGAAUGGUAAUGGUUGAUGGCUUCAUCUGCAGAGUUUAAGGGCGGGAAACAGACAGACACACAUACGUGGAAUGUAACAGACACGCUGCUGAAAUGCACUCUUGCUUUCAGUCAAACUCUAUGUUCUGAAAGUUAUUUUGUUUGCUUGAUACAUAAUUUCAAGAAUAUUCUGCUGUUGACAUAUGAUUGUUUUAUUUCAACUGUUUGCAAAUUAAAGUUCGAGUAAAGUUAAAAUUAGGAGUACAGAGCAAAAACAAUAAAAAUGUGUCACUGUCCAAAUACUUAUGGACUGCACUGAAUAUAAUACUGCGUACAUUACAGUUACAGUUGGCAGCGUAAAGCUUUGUGGGAGGGAUCGUAGUCCUUGUUAUACGGUUGUCUUAGUGAUCCUAACUGACUUAAAAUCACCUAUGCCAUACACCGUUGGACAGCGUAUACUGUCCUCUGCUGGAUGAAAUCAAAACAGAGUGAAUUGAAAGGUGCUGAAGUGGCUUUUAAUACAAGUUGAGUUUUUCUUUUUUCUCGAAUGGAUAAUAAAUGUCUUCAAUAAGAUAUUGUCAGUAGAAUGGCAUUUAAUUUUGCUCUUCAGUAUAUUGAAAUAUGUCUGUGCAUGUUUGCAUGAAUCCUAGAGUUCAUGCUCCCAGAUACACUCUUGUCCAAUGUGUCACUAGUUGCAGAUGAGACUGGGGAGGGGGUGCUUGUAAACUGGCCAAACUAUAGUACCAGUCAAAAGU